rnacentral:rRNA from 1 species
UACGAAGGGGGCUAGCGUUGUUCGGAAUCACUGGGCGUAAAGGGCGCGUAGGCGGCCGAUCAAGUCGGGGGUGAAAGCCUGUGGCUUAGCCACAGAAUGGCCUUCGAUACUGUUUGGCUUGAGACCGGAAGAGGUUAGUGGAACUGCGAGUGUAGAGGUGAAAUUCGUAGAUAUUCGCAAGAACACCAGUGGCGAAGGCGGCUGACUGGUCCGGUUCUGACGCUGAGGCGCGAAAGCGUGGGGAGCAAACAGG